rnacentral:rRNA from 1 species
AGGGCACCACCAGGAGUGGAGCCUGCGGCUUAAUUUGACUCAACACGGGAAAACUUACCCGGCCCGGACACUGGAAGGAUUGACAGAUUGAGAGCUCUUUCUUGAUUCAGUGGGCGGUGGUGCAUGGCCGUUCUUAGUUGGUGGAGCGAUUUGUCUGGUUAAUUCCGAUAACGAACGAGACUCUAGCCUACUAAAUAGACUGUUCAGCUUUAUAGCCGGAAUCACCGGGCAUGUAACUUUCGGGUUGCGUGUUCGGUUCUGGUGACGUUGGCAGUGCUUCUUAGAGGGACAGGCGGCGGUUCAGCCGCACGAAACAGAGCAAUAACAGGUCUGUGAUGCCCUUAGAUGUCCGGGGCUGCACGCGCGCUACACUGAAGUGAUCAGCGUGCAAUUUACGUUUGGUGAUCUGUCAAGAUUGCCCAACCCGUUGAACCUUCUUCGUGAUUGGGAUAGGGGAUUGUAAUUAUUCCCCUUGAACGAGGAAUUCCCAGUAAGCGCAAGUCAUAAGCUGGCGUUGAU